rnacentral:lncRNA from 1 species
UAGAGCCAGAGCUGUAUAUGUUUUUGCUGAUCCAAUUCCAGCUGCUUGCUCCAACCAAGAUAUCACACUCUGCAUCUGCUGAUGGUAAUGUCUGUACCUCUGCUCCACCUAUAUAUACACCCCCAAAAGAAAAGAAAAUAACUUAAUAUAACAUGCUACCUAAUAAGGUUCGAAGAAAUUUUUUAAAAGCAAAAACAAAAUUUUAAUUUCAGUUUGCAGGAUAGUCUGGACAGUAGCGGAUGAUAAUAACACUUUUGAAGUUCUGGUCUUUAUCAUCUGAUAGGUACUUCGCUGUUAAAUUAUUUACUAGUAUUAUUAUUAUUAUUAUUUUCAGUAUCUAUCUGAUGCAAUUACUUUUUUGACAGAGACCAUACUCUUCCAUUAACUACAACCACCAAAUAGGAAGAUUAUAGGUAUACCUCAUCAAGCAUGUUGACAAGUUUUGCUUUCUUCAUCUGAAUUUCUUGCCUUUCUGCUGUACUAAGCUCUGCUCCAUCACGGUUACUACUCUCUCCUCCUUGUCCUGCUGUUGCCAUAUUGCCAGACGAUUCUCCAUUAAUUUUGGAUUUUUGGCCAUCAAUAAAAUCUUCGUCAGUUGUGCUAGUUUUGACUGCCUUGCCAACAUUAACAACUUCAUCAAGC